AAUUUUGGGGUAAAUCCACCCGGAAUUGGCUCAUCCCGGAACGGAGCCGGAGCUGGAUUUGGCAGAUGGGAAUGUUGGGAAUACUGGGAAUGCUCCCCAGUGCUGGGGAUACUGGGAAUACUGGGAAGCCCCAGGAAUGCUCCAGAACAUCAGGAAUGCUCCGGAAUGCUGGGAUUGCUCCCCGAGACUGGGAAUACUGGGAAUGCUCCCCAACAUCGGGAACCCCAGGAACGCUCCAGAACACCAGGCAUACUGGGAAUGCUCCCCACUACUGGGAACACUGGGAACGAUUCCCAACGAGGACAUCGGAUACUGGGAAAGCUCUCCCCAAAUGCUUGGAAUACUGGGAACACUGGGAAUGCUCCAGAACAUCGGACACUGGGAAAGCUCUCCCCAAAUGCUGGGAAUACUGGGAACACUGGGAACAAUCCAGAACAUCGGAUACUGGGAAAGCUCUCCCGGAAUACUGGGAACGCUGGGAAUGCUUCAUAAGGCCUUGGGAAUACUGGGAAUACUGGGAAGGAUCCAGAGCAUUGGAUACUGGGAAAGCUCUCCCGGAAUACUGGGAACGCUGGGAAUGCUUCAUAAGGCCUUGGGAAUACUGGGAAUACUGGGAAUGAUCCAGAACGUCGGAUACUGGGAAAGCUCUCCCCCAACGCUGGGAAUACUGGGAAUACUGGGAAUGAUCCAGAACAUCGGAUACUGGGAAAGCUCUCCCCAAACGCUGGGAAUACUGGGAACACUGGGAAUGAUCCAGAACAUUGGAUACUGGGAAUGCUGGGAAUGAUCCAGAACAUCGGAUACUGGGAAAGCUCUCCCCAAACGCUGGGAAUACUGGGAACAUUGGGAAUGCUUCCCAAGGUCUUGGGAAUACCAGGAACGAUCCAGAACAUCGGAUGCUGGGAAUACUGGGAAUGAUCCCCACCACUGGGAAGGCUUCCCAGUGCCAGGAAUACCGGGGAAUGCUCCGGAAUGCUGGGAAUACUCCCCAGUACUGGGAAUACUGGGAAUGCUCCCCAGUGGCAGGAACAUCAGGAAUACUGGGGGUGGGAUCUAGCACCGCCCCUGCCCCAUGGAUGGGGGAUCAACCCCACACCAGCCCCAUAG
rnacentral:lncRNA from 1 species